UACAGAGGGUGCGAGCGUUAAUCGGAAUUACUGGGCGUAAAGCGCACGCAGGUGGCUGAGUCAGUCGAUUGUGAAAGCCCUGGGCUUAACCUGGGAAUUGCAGUCGAUACUACUCGGCUCGAGUAUGGGAGAGGGCAGUGGAAUUCCCGGUGUAGCGGUGAAAUGCGUAGAUAUCGGGAGGAACAUCAGUGGCGAAGGCGGCUGCCUGGCCCAAUACUGACACUCAGGUGCGACAGCGUGGGGAGCAAACAGG
rnacentral:rRNA from 1 species